GCCGCGGGAUUCGAAUCGCAUGGCCUUGCGCCGGCGAUGGUUCAUUCAAAUUUCUUCCCUAUCAACUUUCGAUGUUUGGGUAUUGGCCAAACAUGGUUGCAACGGGUAACGGAGGGUUAGGGCUCGACCCCGGAGAAGGAGCCUGAGAAGCGGCUACUACAUCCAAGGAAGGCAGCAGGCGCGCAAAUUACCCAAUCCCGAUUCGGGGAGGUAGUGACAAUAAAUACUGAUACAGGGCUCUUUUGGGUCUUGUAAUCGGAAUGAGUACAAUUUAAAUCCCUUAACGAGGAACAAUUGGAGGGCAAGUCUGGUGCCAGCAGCCGCGGUAAUUCCAGCUCCAAUAUCGUAUAUUAAAGUUGUUGUGGUUAAAAAGCUCGUAGUUGAACCUUGGGCCUGGCUGGCCGGUCCGCCUCACCGCGUGUACUGGUCCGGCCGG
rnacentral:rRNA from 1 species